UGGGGAAUAUUGGACAAUGGGGGAAACCCUGAUCCAGCAAUGCCGCGUGAGUGAAGAAGGCCUUAGGGUUGUAAAGCUCUUUCGCCCGCGAAGAUAAUGACGGUAGCGGGAGAAGAAGCCCCGGCUAACUCCGUGCCAGCAGCCGCGGUAAUACGGAGGGGGCUAGCGUUGUUCGGAAUUACUGGGCGUAAAGCGUACGUAGGCGGAUGCGCAAGUUGGGGGUGAAAUCCCGGGGCUUAACCUCGGAAUUGCCCUCAAAACUGCACGUCUUGAGACCGAGAGAGGUAAGGGGAAUUCCUAGUGUAGAGGUGAAAUUCGUAGAUAUUAGGAAGAACACCAGUGGCGAAGGCGCCUUACUGGCUCGGUACUGACGCUGAGGUACGAAAGCGUGGGGAG
rnacentral:rRNA from 1 species